GGUAUAUUCUAAGUUUACUCAGUGAGUGUGGAAGUGGUGGCAAUACAUUUAGCUGGCAGUGGUCUGUAUUUAGCCAUGGUAAGGUGCUUGCUGUGGCCAUUGAAGAGUGAAGAAGUGGAAGACAAUCACUCCCAAAGUACACAGGGCUGGGACAGGUUUCUGCUAACAAGAGCACCAGCAUCGGGUAUCAGGAAGAUUAUGGUCCAAACCAUAAAUCAUACUCUUCUGAGAGAUGGAAGCGGCUUAUGUAUGUGGCAUUGAGAGGAAAUGGACGGGUAAAAAAAGGAGGAAGGACUAAACACACUUUUUACCUUUUCCCAUGUGAUCCUACAGAAAGCCAAUGCAAAGGGAAUGUAUUGGAUGAUACGUCAAUCAAGUUGCUGAAAUACACCUGGAUAAUCCUGCAAAAAUACAGAUUACCCACAUGAAUCAUGUUUAUGUGCCGAGGCUGCAGGCCAUGCUGAAAGUGCAGCAUUUUCUGUUCAUGAAUGCCAAUUUUGAUCAUAUAUCCAACAAACUGUAAAUUACACAUAAAGUGUGGAAACAUAUGUUUACUUAUUUCGAUCCUUGUAUUUGUAGUGUUUUAGAUGUGUCCAAGGUUUCAGGCAAUAGGUUUACAGUAAAUCUGAAAUUGUAAAAAAAAGGUUUCUCUGUGGAAUUGCGAAAGCAAAUAGGAGCCUGGAUGGAACAUGGCUACUCUUACUGACCUUGAAAAAAUAUUUAAAGGGGAACUCUGGCUUCUAAACCAAAAUCUGAUAAAGAGGCCCACAUAACACAGAAACCCCUAAUAAACCCAUCACAGUUAUUGGC